rnacentral:rRNA from 1 species
GUGGGGAAUUGUGGACAAUGGGCGCAAGCCUGAUCCAGCCAUUCCGCGUGCAGGAUGAAGGCCUUCGGGUUGUAAACUGCUUUUGUACGGAACGAAAAGCCUCUGGUUAAUACCCGGGGGUCAUGACGGUACCGUAAGAAUAAGCACCGGCUAACUACGUGCCAGCAGCCGCGGUAAUACGUAGGGUGCGAGCGUUAAUCGGAAUUACUGGGCGUAAAGCGUGCGCAGGCGGUGAUGUAAGACAGUUGUGAAAUCCCCGGGCUCAACCUGGGAACUGCAUCUGUGACUGCAUUGCUGGAGUGCGGCAGAGGGGGAUGGAAUUCCGCGUGUAGCAGUGAAAUGCGUAGAUAUGCGGAGGAACACCGAUGGCGAAGGCAAUCCCCUGGGCCUGCACUGACGCUCAUGCACGAAAGCGUGGGGAGCAAACAGGAUUAGAUACCCUGGUAGUCC